rnacentral:lncRNA from 1 species
ACACAUCUAACCACUCUUCAGCUGAUAUCCACUUGCUGACAAAUGAAUCUCUCUGGCCCCUGGACUGUGCCCUGAAACACAGCUUAAAACAGCAGAAUGAACAGUAAUCCCAGAGAUCCUGAGAUGAGAAAAGGGUGUUUGACUUAUUCAAAGAAGACCAAGGAAGCCCAAAGACCAGAGAAGAGUGCAGGAAAGGGGCGGCGGUCUGAGAUGCAGUCAGAGCAGUGGCAAGCCCCCAGAGUCUGUGGCAAAGACUUCAGGUUUCAUCCUGAAGAGGAAGACAGGUCUUUGGAGAGUUUUGAUCAAGGAAGUGAGAUGAAAUAUCUUAGGCUUACAAAGAACUACUCUGACAUCUAAAUGGAAAAUGGACUGAUGAAGCAAAAGAAGCCACAAGGAAGCCAGUUCAGAGGCUAUUGAAAUGCUCCAGAUACUCAGAGAGUGAGAGCCUUCAGAUUUGGGUGAGUGAUGCCAUUAGAACCAAGAUUUCUUCCAUUCUUCUGCUCUAUCAUUCUCAGCACAACAUGCUUUUCUCAUUAAGGCCGCUGUGGUUCGUCUUCUGCCUGGGAACUGGAUAAAAACAUCAGUGAAUACCCCAAAGGUCAGAAUUUCAGAACUGCUGCCACAACUGUAUUGUCACCAAGUAGUCACCAUGCUCUCACUCACUCUCUUUUUUUAAGAGGCCUGGUCAUGUCCGGGGGAAUGCCAGAUUUUCAAAAAUGCUUGUUGAUAAAAUGAAGUCAGAAUGUGAGAUGAGCCCUUCCACCUGAGUGAUGUUGGUCUUGGCUGUGUGAUUUGCUUUGGCUGAUGAUAAGUUGAUGGAAGUGAUAGUAAGACAAUGCUGAGCCUCAUCCUCGGAAGUAUCUCUGCCUUCACCUGGCUUUGUGCACCACUGCCCUGGCUUUGAGAAGAACAUGAGCCCAGUAAAUUGUUAGUCCAGGAAGAAUGAGAGAGAAAGUCCUGAGGCAGAGAAGUGGAGAGAAGUUGCUGCUUGAGCUUGAGAAAGAAUGGUGGCAGAGUACAUGCAUGGAAGUGCUACCAUAGCUGCUCUGAAAUCAGAGGAAAGUGGAAUUAUAAGAAGACCCCAUCUGACAAGGCUCAUAAAGGAGAGCAACUCUUAUGGAAUACAUCCAAGAUAUAUACGUCUUUGAAGAAAGACAUCACUCAACUGUGAAAGAUCACCAUGACCCCUGCUUUAAUUUCAUCAAAAAACUUAGUCCAUCAGCUCAGUUACCCUUUAGCCUUGCAUGGGAAUUGACUCAGAGCUUCUGCAAGAUCAGGCCCUAUAUUAGGUAUUGAGGGUUCAGGGAUGAACUAAGCUGAUCUGGUUCCUGCUCUCUAGGCUGUAGAAGAUGGCAAGUGCUGUGGACUUCAAAGAAAAGAUUUCUGAAGUGUCAUGUUAUGACAAUUGUGAUGCUUCAAACUAUGUUGACUAUUCAUUUACAGCAUAAAGAAGAGUGAGCCACUUUAUCACUGCAGUAAUUAUAUUUUAAAAAUAAAGAAAAUAAAACAAAUGGAGUUUCCCACCCAAUCCAUGGAGACACAGACACGAAGUCUUACUAUAGAUGUGUGGCCAAUCCUUACAUUGCUUUUAUUACAAGCCUGGAAAUGACAAUAAAAUACAUGAACUUGAGAGUAUAUA